rnacentral:rRNA from 1 species
CAAUACAAAGGGCAUUUUCAUGAUCCAACCAUCAUUCUGGAGGCAUUUGCAUGACAUGAUUCAUGGAUUUGGCAUCCAUACUUAGGGAUGCCUAGGUCUCCCAAUGACCUAAUUGUCCUCCAACACUCUCCUAUUUUUGCAACACUUGUUGUCGGUGAUGCUCCAACUUGCAACGAUGUUGUCAAUGGCCAUGAGUACAACAUAUGGUACUACCUUGCAGAUAGUAUGUAUCCUCCAUGUGCCACAUUUUCGGAGACAAUACAAUGUCCUCAAGGUAACAAGAAAUCUCAAUUUUGCAAUGUACCAUGUGAAAGAAUUGAAUCGGUCGACUAG